GUCAACAACUCACCGCUAAGUCUUGUCAGACUAUAGCGGGAGCUUGUGAAAGCUCAUAGUUGACCAGACUAAGACCUAGUAAUGGUCUACGUUAUUCGAGUCAUAACACCUGUAGAUGCGUGCCAGUCUUCAGCUCUGUU
rnacentral:sRNA from 14 species